rnacentral:misc_RNA from 1 species
AAGUCGUAACAAGGUUUCCGUAGGUGAACCUGCGGAAGGAUCAUUAACGAAUAUCUAUGGCGUUGGUUGUAGCUGGCUCCUAGGAGCACUUGUGCACGCCCGUCAUUCAUAUCAUCUUUCCACCUGUGAACUAUGUGUAGGCCUGGAUACCCCUCGCUUUGGUGACAAAGUGGAUGCAAGGAUUGCUGCGUCGACAAGGCCCGGCUCUCUUUGAAUUUCCAGGUCCUAUGUCUUUUUACACACCCCAUUCGAAUGAUGUAGAAUGUAGUCAAUGGGCUCUUAUGCCUAUAAAACACUAUACAACUUUCAGCAACGGAUCUCUUGGCUCUC